UAAGCUUACCCGCCAGAGUCGCGUACACAGAAAUAACCUCCGCUCCACUGGAAAGAAGGAGAACUAAAGGAAAAGAUGAUGCUUGGCAGGUCCUCCACAGAACAUGUCUGCUUCUAAGAGCCCAGUCCAUGCAGUGAAACAGACGCUCCAACUCAGUCUAAGAGAAACGGUUCAGUCAUUUGUAUUGGCAACAAGACAUCUGCAAUAGCAUCACUGAAGAGAGGCAAUGGCAAUGUUGAUUUUAUUUACUGGUGCCCCCUUUGUGUUCCUUCGGUCAGGUUUUUUGUCCACUCCUCAAUCAAUAUAUGAACUAGUGGUUAUGGUUCAGCACUGAAUGCCUGUGGAUCACCUUCUCUCCGUCACAACCUCAACCUUACCAUCCUCUUUACGUGGAAAUGAGCAAUUGACUUUGUCCACCAACAAAUCUGUGGCUCCUGCUUUAGAACUGCUUUCCCUGCUCUCGGAUAUGAAGACUGACUCACUGAUGCCCUCCACUGGAAAGAUCCCAGAAUUUUUUGCAAGUACACAGCUUCUGAGAAUAUGAUAUGUGCCACCACUUCCACCCCUCUAAGCCUUAACCUUACAACCUGAUGAGGAGUUAUGGUCUACUUAUAAGUGGGCAGCUGAAUAAGGAUUCCCGUAUCACUCUGCAGUCCAGUUUGAGCUAAAUGGCCUGCAGGAUGAGAUUGGGGGCAGUUAAAGUGAGGUUGGGGAUUUUUUUUCAGCUGUAUAGUUAUGAACAGCUGCAUACGUCCCUGGGGUCACCAUUUGGUAAUUAGUUGAUAAAGGUAAUAAGAACCUCUGGUCCAGCGGCUGCAUUUUCACUAAGAUUCUUCUUAUAUAGUGAUGGCAGGUCAGGCUAGAGGACUGUUUUUGUCUAGUGCAUUUUUGUUUGGGUUGCAAGUUGCCUUUCCUUUGCAGCCCAGAGGUAAAAAGGAUGAGUUUGUAGCCUGGAAAUUUUUAGUAGCUGUCACUAACCUGGU